rnacentral:rRNA from 1 species
UACGUAGGGUGCGAGCGUUGUCCGGAAUUAUUGGGCGUAAAGAGCUUGUAGGCGGUCUGUCGCGUCUGCUGUGAAAAUCCGGGGCUCAACCCCGGACUUGCAGUGGGUACGGGCAGACUAGAGUGUGGUAGGGGAGACUGGAAUUCCUGGUGUAGCGGUGAAAUGCGUAGAUAUCGAGAGGAACACCUGCGGCGAAGGCGGGUAGCUGGGCCGACACUGACGCUGAGGCGCGAAAGCCAGGGGAGCGAACGGG